CGUUGAACCACCGGUUCUUGUAUGAUCACCAAAACUAAGCAAUGUCGAGCUUGGUCAGUACGUAGAUGGGUGACCGUUUGGGAAUGCCAAGUGCU